GUGCCUGCGGUAUUGAUUGCAUGAGUGGAAAGAAGCUGGCCCGCUCUCCUUCCCGAAAAAAAAAAACAAAAAGAUCAGCGGAUCAAGAAGUCUGUUUGCCACUCUUGUGCAGUGCGUGUACGUGUGCUGUUUGCCUGCAAGCUGGCACCUUCCUUGUGCCUCGGCGUGUUGAGGUGAUUGCGCACCGACCUCUGUCUUUCUCUUUCGUAUCGUUUUCUCCAGUUCUAUUGCUGCCACGGUGCUGCUCCAGCAUCAUGAGCGGCCACAAUCCGAACCGUGCUGAGAGACUGGGCAGCGGUGGUGGCGCGCCGGCGCGCAACCCCAUCACUUACAAUCUGGCCGCCCUCCGCCUUGCACAGUCCCCGAACGGAAGGGGCCAAAUAUCGCCGCCGGUCCCUUCCGGCGAUGGUGGGUCUAUUAGGCUGAGCAGCAGCGGCGCAGCAUCUGAUGUGCCGCUGUCUGUCUUGCUUGCAGGUCUCGGUACCCCAGCUGCUACUGUCAACACAGCGUCGCCGCACCCGGCGGUGGCCUCCGGGCCUAGCGCUCUCUCACUAGUCGGAGGCGGCAGGCCGCCCGUGAGAGUCGCAGGCGCUUCCGCGGCAGUACUGCCGCCUGCGAUGGGGUAUCCGGAUGCUGCUCCAACCAUAGAAUCCGGACUACCUUCCAAGUUGACGGGCGUAGCGCAGUCUGACCAAGCGUCACCAGCACCGAUGGCUGCACCAGGUCCGCGAGGGGCAACACUGGGCCCCACUGACAACAAACAGCCUUUUCUGGCGGGUGCGCCGACCGGCGCACCACCCCCGCCGCCGCCGUCGUCACUGGGUCACGCCCCCAUGCCAAGGCCAAGUGGACCGUUAGUGUUUCCUCCGAGCACACACACCAGCAUCCCCUCUCAAGCUGCAGCGGCCUCCUCAGCGCGGUCUGCACCCUCUAAACUGUCGGCCCCACCACAGUGGACGAGUGCCGCGCCUUCUAGCGUCCCACUUCCGCAUUCGGCACAAGCGCGCCGCGCAGACCCGACCCAACCGGGCUCCGCCUUCAUGCGGACGCAGAAUCGGCCGCCAGCGCCGUUCCUAGCAGGCGUAGCGAAGUCGCAAGGCAGGCUGCCUACUCCUCAGACGCCCCUCUAUCAACAUCCGCCGGUGGCACCCGUGCCGAGUCGCGGGACUUUUAACGAGGCCGCAGAGCCAGCAACAGCUGUCGCUGCUGCUCCUCUUCCGCAGUCACAACCGCACGCCGGUAUACCUCCUCCGGUACCGCGGUCUCAGCUUGCUGGGAUGCCGACUCCUCUCAGCCAGUCAUCAGGUGCAGCGUCCCCGUCGGCUGCCGCUCCCUUCAGUGCCCCAUCCCCAAAAGCUGCCGGGUCGCUCUUGUCGCCUCCGCUGCCGUCGCAGCAGCGGAGAUCGAACUCUCAGCGCCUUCCGUAUCCGCUGCCGCAGCCUCUUUCACAGCAGACCGCCUCGGCGCGAUCAUCAGUGCCCCCUCCGGCUCCGAUGUCAGCCAACACAGCAUCUCCGUUUCGGCCCACACCAACCUCGCCACUGCCCGCUGUCGCCGCGGCACCCGUUGUCGAUACACCCGCUACGACAACCCCGACUGUCACGCCGAUUUCCGCUGCUGCGCCAGCCGGCGCUUCUGAUUCUGCUCCUGCCGCUGCAUCCCUACCCACGGAUAUUUGCUUAGCACUGCAGCAGAUGAGCAUUCACGCUCGCAUAGCGCCGUAUCCACCACCACCGUCAACUGCGACAGAGGCCGCUGCCGCGACACCCACGCCCGCUGCGGCUUCGAGCUCCGCCGGCUCGCCUAUAAAGAAGCUGCAGCAGCUCAUGCAGCAGCCGCAGGCGCGGCUGAACUACUACGCCGCAUUGCCGCCGCGUGUGGCAGUGCAGCGUGAGCAAGACCGCUACGGCAGGGGCAACCGAGCACAGAGGAUGAACUACCGCCAACCACCGCCACCGCACCACCAGCAGCGUCAUCUGCCAUCGGCGCCGCCACAGCAGACCAAAGCGACUCCCCUCGCUCAUGUCGCCGACAUCGAUCCGGCCGUUGCGAAGCGCUUCCAGGAUGAGUACGCGCAGCAGAACGACAACGAGAACAUCGGGGACGACUUGCGGGCGCAGCAGGCGACGAAGAUGGGCACGAUUGGCACGCUAGAUGAGGAACUGUGCCUGUCCCUGAUUGAGACUCACGACGUCACGUUUGUCGUCACGGAUACCGGUACGGGCAAGAGCACCCGUAUCCCAAUGGCCCUGCACAAGGCGCACCCGGAUGCACUCGUCGUGAACGCGCAGCCGCGCCGUACCGCUGCGAUCAACCUUGCCCAGCGCGUCGCGGAGGUGCUUGACGCGGAGCUCGGUGAAGAGGUAGGCUACUCGGUGCGCGGAGAGCAUAUCGGCGACCUUGGUGAGACGAAGAUAAUGUACGUUACAACCUACUCCCUCUUUAUCUACUUUCUGUGGCACGAGUUCAAAGAGAAGCUGCCGUUUUCCUACAUCAUUGUCGACGAGUUUCACGAGCGCACACCGGAUGUGGAGGUCAUUCUGCUGAUGCUGAAGCUGUGGCUUCAUAAACACCCGGGUGCCUUUAAGCUUGUCCUGUGCAGCGCGACGGCGCAGGUGGAGGAGUGGCAGAGCUUCUUCGACGGCCUUACGGUCGGCACCUACGCCCGCUCCCCUAUCAUGUACCCCGUGCAGGAGUACUUCAUCGAGGACCUGCAGCGCCUCACCGGCAUCCGCACUGCACCGAUUUUGCCGCAGGAUAGCAACAACAUGGUAACAUCGGAGCAGAUGCAUCAGCUCAUUCUAGUGUGCAAACAGCUGCUUGAGUACCUGGCUAAGAACACGGCGACGCAGGACAGCGUGCUCGUGUUCAUGCCUGGCCGUACGCAAGUGGAGCUGAUGACGACAUGGAUUCGCGAGAACCUGGAGGAGUCACUGGAGCCGAUCGCGUGGUACCGCGACGUCGAGCUGUCUCUGAUCCAGGAGGCCCUCGCGCGGCCUGCAGUAACCCGCAAGAAGGUCUACGUCGCCACAGACAUCGCCGAGGUGAGCUUGACGCUGCCGGACGUGGUGUUUGUGAUCGACUCCGGGACAGGCAAGCGGCCGCAGGUCUCGGAGAAGGAGAAGACAAGCUACGCUUUUCCGCCUCUUCGGCUGCUGUGGGAGACGACGUCGAACGCGCAGCAGCGCCGCGGCCGUGUUGGUCGUGUGCAGCAGGGCUUCUACUUCAGCCUUCUCAGCCGCGACCACCACAAGGCGCUGCGCGAAUCAGAUAAUCGCAUCAAGAACGCUGUCCUCACUGAGCUCGUCCUUCACUCCCUGCUCAUCACGCAAAAGCCGUUCGCCUUCUUCCAGCUGUGCAACGAGAAGCCAGAGCGCGGCGCUCUCGCCUACAGCCUUCACCUGCUACAGGAUGGCGGCCAUAUUAUUCGCAAGGACGACCCCAUGGCGGACGCGGAGCGGGUGUCGCUUGACCGCCAGCGCACGACGCACGUCAUGGACUCGCCCUGGAAUGCCCUCAUCGAGGAGGCGCUUGCAGCGGCCCCGGCGGCCUUUUCUACUGCUUCUGCCGAUGCGGCAAAACACUCCCCGGCUACAAAGGAGGCGGCAGAGGGCCCCAGCAGCAGUGACGAGGUCGGCGACAAGGGCUACGGAGACGAAGAGGACUCUGUCGAGGCCGCGAAUCCAGAGGCCGACACAGAGGCUUUCCAGCAGUGCUACUUCAUGACCCUGCGGGGCGUCAUCGCGGCCCGCUCGCCGGUGUCGGUCGCGGCUGCCACAAACGUUUUCUUCGGCCUACUGUACGGCACCCCGACGCUGAGCAUGCUGGCGGCCGCCAUCGAGUCUUCCAAGUCGCCGUUUCACGUGCCGUACACCGUCAGCGACCGCAUGGAGCGCGCGGCGAUGGUGCGUCACGUGUCGAACGUUAUGCAGCGCUACCACGGCUCGCUGCAGAGUGAUUUGAUCUGCUCCAUGGAGGUUAUCCUCGAGUACAUGAGCAUGCAGCGCGACGGGCUGUCCGAGGAGGCGCAGGAGGAGUGGUGCCAGGAGCGCAGCCUGAGUCGCACUCGCGUCGUCGAUACACUGAAUUUGUUCUCGCAGAUGAAGGAGCAGGUGAGCUCGGUGCUGCCGUUCCCGGACGUCACAGACAUCGACGUACUCAAUGCCCAGUUUAACCAGAACGCUGAGCUCCUUGUGCUCAUGCUCGUGGCGUCGCACACAGAGCUGGCGAUUCAGGUGCAGCUGGACGGCCCUGUCGCGCAGAGGAAGGGCUUUGUGGGACACGGUAUGUUCUUCCCGCUCAAGUGUCUCAAGGACGAGUCGGUGCCGACCGUGUGCCCGUGGGACCGCACCAAGAUUAGCGUGCCACUUUCUCUACAGACGAUUCAGCGCAAAGUGCUCGCCGUGUUCGCCUCGCAGGUGGAACCAGACCUGUUCGCGCUGGUGCUGCUCGUCUUCUCUUACAAGCUCCACUACUCGGUUCAGGACAGCGGCGCCACCCCGUCGUUCCUGAUGGCCGUCAGCCACUCUGGUGUGCGCCGCACCUUUCAGUGCGACACCCUCACCGCACAGCAGAUUCUGCAGCUGCGCCGCAUUCAGUGCGCCCAGCUGCGGUGCAUGCAGCUGCAGGUGGAGGAACGCGUGAAGGCGAAUGAGAGCGAGAAGCUCAGUGCCGUGCUGAAGAGCGCCAACAGUGACUUUGGAUUACCGGAGAGUGCCAUAAAGACGCCCUACCUCAUUCCUACAGUGCUGCAGCACGGCCUGAAGCUGCUCGUGAGCCGACUGAAGGGCUCACCUUCUUACACGGCUCAGCGACGCGGCAUCGCGGAGUUCCCGCCCGGUACGCCGUACUGCAAGCUCGCUCACGGCGCGGAGCUGCCGCCGCCGGUGCUGCAGUCGGUGCUCAUCCACAGCAACAAUGGCCUCUCCGUGCUGCAGCCGGCAGCAACGGCGGCAGCCGCAGCGACCCCCUUGGCGACAGUCGGCGUAGCGACGGGUGCGGUGGAGCAUAGCGACGAGGCAGCCGUCGCGCUGGCGGAAGCGCCUUCUCCGGCAGUGGAAAGUAAGUCGGAAAGCGAUGACGACGAUGAUAGCGACCGCAGCAGCGACUCUGCUGCACAUGUGCCAACGUUCAGCUAUGACAUUUAGAUGUGCGCGAGAGCGAGAGUGGGCCGACUCGUCGGCCUUGAAAGGGGAAAGCCCUUCGUGGCGCGAAAGAGGCGCAAGCGACACGCAAAGAGAGCGGUGACUGCUGAGCGGCUUACUUUCAAGGUCUGGCGUAUGCGGACCUCUUUCUAUACUCGAUCCCCUACCCUGUGCGCUGCCGCCCCCUUUCUUUUGGCCUUUCCUGUUGGUCUUGAGUAGCGCGGCCCUGGGCAUUCGCUCUUUGUUCUCUUCCUCCCUCCUCUCCCCCUUCCUCUCUCCCGUCUGCACGCGUACAUGUGUCUUUGUCUGCGUGGGUAGCGGUUAAGUAUUGAGCUAAGGCUGUCUUCUGUUGUGUGCUCCUUUCCUUUGUUUUUUUUUUGUUCUUUUCCGUUUCCCUUUCCGCCUUCGUGUAUUUUUGGCGUGUGGUACCCGACAUGAUGAUGAAGCCUUGCUGUUGUUGCCUCCGGUGUGUGCAUGUAUGUGUGCGCGAGGGAGUUGUUGGCGUAUUUGUUCUUCCCCUCUUUUCUCCCUCCUUUUUUUGUUUGCUACGUCGCUCACCCACACGCCCCCACACGCACGCACUCGUGCUCUCGUUUCGUUCUUCCCUUUUCGUCUCUUCUUCCCCUCCCCCUCCCUCCCUCCCCUCCCGCAUGGAGCGAAGCUUGCCGGUGGGGGCGUCAAAGCGAAACGAGUCGUUGUGCGCGAAGGAGCGAGGGAGGGAGGAGACACGAAGGAGAAGACAAUCAGACAUGGCAGUUCGUAAAUAGUCUUGGGCGCUGCACGGCUCGACCUCCUCCCUUCCAGCUCACCCUGACGUCUUCCUGUGUAUAAAAGAUAUGUAUAUGCAUAUCUUUUAUACACGUAUAUACAUAUAUAUGUGUCUUUGCCGUUGUCGUUGUCACUAUGUGUGCCCGCUUCUGAGCAUUACCAAUACAUUCAUGUUUAAUUCAUGUCGUCGUUGCUGUGGUGGUGAUGAUGAGUGGGCUUUGAGGUGGGGGCUGGAAAGGAGGGAGGGGAGAGGAAGAGGGCAGCGAGACAGGGGUAGGAGACAGCGUAGGCAAGAUAUGAAAUAUGGGCAACUGCGGGUCGCCUCUGCUUGUCCUCGUUUCCUUCCCCUCCCUUUGCUUCCUUCCCUACCGUCUUUUCCCCGUCGCCAUCAUUUAAUUACACCGCGGGUUCUCGAAGAGUAUCCUAACAUAACGCAAUCGCAGCAUACACCCACAGACAGACAACCACACAGACAGACAUCGAGAAAGCGAGAGACACGCCAGCUACAGCAGCAGAUCUUACUGCUUCGCCGACAGGUAAAGUCUGCAGGCCGCGCCGUGCUCUACGCUCUUGGCCUCUCAGAGGUAAUGCCGAAAGGCAGCGAAGAGGCGAGGUCAGCUUCCAGGGGUACUGUUCCUCACUAGCUUCGUGCUCUCUAAAGAGCGCCUACCACGACCAUACCGUGAGAUCGGGGAGGAGUUGCGGGUGCGAUUGAUGCGCGUGCGUGUCUUCCGUGAUGUUGCUUUCUUUAUUGUGUCUUUUUGCACCUCUCUUUCUUUCUAUGAUUCUCCUGCUUGUAUCCACCACACGCAG
rnacentral:misc_RNA from 1 species